AGAAGACGGUGAUGUCGUAUGGUCCACGAAAACUGCAAACAGAGGCGUCCGGUGGCUCUGUAUUUCCAAUCGCGCAACCAUAAUGCUCCUGGAUGAAAGCGGAAGCAAUGUCAUCUGGCAAAGCAGCGACGAACCUUCUGACACUGUGCUGUUGCAACGAGCACUUACGCCGGGACAAAAGCUCGUAAGUUGGAAUACUUCAGAAGACAGCAGCGAUGGCCUCUAUAGUCUCGUCAUGGAGAAAAACAGGCUGCAACUGUUGUACGCCUCGCAACCGUACUGGAGCUUCGGUAAUAUUGGCAGCGAGGAAAACAUGUUUGCGGUGUUUUGCUGGCAAAACGAUGGUAACGUGUCUCUGGAUCUGCGCACCGACUUCUCACAGAUUGAAACGAUGCCUGAUGAAUUGGGGUUAGUGCCUUCCCGGUCAUGUUCUAGUCGAGGUUUAAGAGACCAAGUGAUGCCGUUGAACGUAAACGGGUCACAGUUCACGUCCUCCACUUUCAUAAGGCUCACACCAGAUGGAGAUGUGGACCUGUACUCCUGGAAUUGGACGGGUAGCUACUGGGCAACUUAUCUCAGCUUUUCCAGUCUCUUCAACUGCUUCCUUCCAAGUGCAUGCGGGAAGUAUAGAACCUGUAAUCCAGUGUCAGGUGCAUGCGAGGAAACUUGUCCCGAGAGCUUUACCAGGACAGGUCGAGAUUGCCAGCCAUUGAGUAAACUUCAGACGUGUGCAGAGGACCUCGAGUAUCGAUUCGUUCGAAAGGAGGGAGCUGGUUACUUCUCCACAAAUUAUACUGAUCCACUCAAUGUUGCAUCGGAAGCAGACUGUCAAGGGCGCUGUGAGUCGAACUGCAACUGCACGGCUGCCUUUUAUAGUGACCGGAGCUGCUUUCUCGCUCAUGGAGACGUACAAUCGCUUCGAACUGGAAAAUACGUUGCGUUAUUGAAAGUUGCACAGCCACGAAAAGCAUCCAGGAAGCACGUCCAGGCCAUCACCUUGGGAGUACUUAUUCCGACACUCGUCCUUCUGAUUAUAAGUCUCGGAUGGCGCUGCCGAAGGAGCAAGAACGAUGAUGACGAGGGAGAAGAAGAAAGCACCUUGCAGCUCUCUCUCAUGGCUGGCAUGCCAAGGCGUUUUAGUUACCAAGAGCUGCAACAAGUCACAGGAAACUUCAGUGAAAUGCUUGGAAAUGGAGGAUUUGGAAGCGUGUUCAAAGGAAACCUUGCCGAUGGAAUUGAGGUCGCUGUGAAGAAACUUGAAGGCUCCAACCAGAGGAGCAAAGAUUUUUUCGCCGAAGUUGGAAUCCUAGCCAGGACGCACCACUGGAACCUCGUCAAGCUGCUGGGAUUCUGUGCCCAGGGUCCAAGGAAAAGGCUCCUGGUGUACGAAUAUAUGAGGAACGGGUCCCUCGACCGAUGGAUAUUUGAAGACGAUGAAUAUCCUGGCAAUGUGCCGUGGGGAGUUAGAUACAACAUUGCCUUGGGCACAGCAAGAGGAUUGAGCUACUUACAUGACGAAUGCGCUGAAAAGAUAAUCCACUUGGACUUGAAGCCGGAGAAUGUGCUCCUCGACGAUGGUUUCCAGCCGAAAAUAGCAGAUUUCGGACUGUCCAGGCUCAUGGACAGGAAGGAAAGCCACUUGCAGCUGACGAUAACGAGAGGCACUCCUGGCUACGUCGCACCGGAGUGUGUUCAGGAAGGAACAGUGACUGAAAAAUCGGAUGUUUUCGGCUUCGGGGUAUUGCUGCUCGAGAUCAUAACAGGUUGCAGGAGCAGGAAUCUCUCGGAUGAUUUCCUGAAGGACUACCUGUUGGUCAGUGAAAGGGACGAGAAGGCUGUUGCUCACCUCCACCAAGACGACAAGGAAAGAGAGAGAUUGAAGACCGUGGUAAGUUUGUGUGUCCGAGACGAUCCAGACUUACGGCCCUCGAUGAUGAACGUGGUACCAAUGAUGCAAGGAGUUAUUAAGCUUCCUCAGAUCCCCUCGGAGUCGCAGCUCCAGUUCUUCCUCGCUUACAGAUCCAAACUUCAGCUUAGCAGAAGCACAACCUCGGACGUACCUCAGUACAGUUCUAAUAAGUUGCUGGGUUCGUCAACGUCGUUUGGAUUUCUCUCACAAGAGAGCCUGGGUUGUCGAUAAUUGGAUAGUGCUCAGUACCUAUACAAUGAUAUGUAAGUAAUUCAUACCUUGUGCCCAGUAUAUCCGUUACAGUCCACAAGAGUUGUAUAGCAAUCCUAACUUGAAGAAGGAGCUUGCUUCUUCCCGAUCUGGAAAUUUGCAAAGAAAGUAAGAAAACAAACCUGCAACGACUUGCUCAAGAGCUCGUGCUUCGAAAUCGAGCGAGCCAAAGUAAUCAAGCAAAUGGCUAGCCUGCUUUUGACUCAAGUGACACUCUUCUACUGGAACUCAAGUAUACCUUUGAUCGAACUUCUCCAGUUCAGACACAUCCCAUUGGCUUUCACCACGAACAAAAUUUCCCGCCGUUUCUAAAGCGAUUCCUCUCUCACCACAGCUUUCGCUAAACUGGAAAGAAAAGAAAAAAAAGAGAGGGGGAGUCGAAGGAAAACAAAAUCUGUGAGAAGAUUUCUCGUACCUGAUUCCUACGGAUUUCCUUCAACCUGUUAAAGCAUAUCCACAUAAACUCAAGUCAGUCACAAAGCUCGGCUAUAACCAAGUCUAAACGUAUCUGCAAAGACUUGUUCAAAGCGCGUUGGAACAUCCAAGUAUUUGAGCGCCGGAGCCGCAAGAGAGGUCGAGAACUCCAUGGCUACCAAAGGAGAGCUGUGCUUCAUCUUCUCGUCGAUCUUCAUCCUGGGAUUUUCUCGAGCGGAACUGUACUACAGGAAUUUCACCAGUGAAGUAAAUGGUCCCCUGUAUCCGCUUGAUCCAUCCGGCUUGAGUGGCCGCUACACUGAUUUAUGGUCCAACUACACCGACACGGACAUGAGCUUCCAGGUGUGGAUGCUGAGCUAUGACGCCACAACACCAAGAUCGUUCUUCCUGGCACUGGUUGGAAUUCGCAAUCCAAGUAAGCUCUGGGACCUCACAAAACCGGUCGUUCUGUGGAAGGCCCGUCAGACGAGGCUUGUAGGAGAGAAUGCCACUCUAGCAUUCACCACCGAUGGAGAGCUCAAGCUUGAAGAAGAUGGCGACGUUGUCUGGUCCUCCAACACCACAAACAAAGGCGUCCGGUGGCUUGCCAUAUCCGACAGCGCGACCAUAAUGCUCCUGGAUGAAAGUGAAAGCAAUGUCAUCUGGCAAAGUAGCGACGAACCUUCUGACACUGUGCUGUUGCAACGAGCGCUUAAGCCGGGAUAUAAGCUCGUAAGUUGGAAUACUUCAGAAGACAGCAGCGACGGCCUGUAUAGCCUUGUCAUGGAGAAGAACAGGCUCAAACUGCUAUACGACUCGCAACCAUACUGGAGCUUCGGUAAUAUUACAAGAGAGGAAGAUAUGUUUGCGGUCUUCUGCUGGCAGCCAAAUGGAGUCGUGUCCCUGGAUCUCCGAACUAAUUUCUCACAGAUAGAAGGUGCGGGCUUGGUACAGCCGGAGUCUUGUGCCAUACCUGGUUCUGAAGACCAAGCGAUGCAG
rnacentral:lncRNA from 1 species